rnacentral:rRNA from 1 species
UACAGAGGGUGCGAGCGUUGUCCGGAAUCACUGGGCGUAAAGGGCGCGUAGGCGGCCUGAUAAGUAGGGGGUGAAAUCUUGCGGCUCAACCGCAAGGCUGCCUUCUAAACUGUCAGGCUGGAGCACGGUAGAGGCAGAUGGAAUUCCCGGUGUAGCGGUGGAAUGCGCAGAUAUCAGGAGGAACACCGGUGGCGAAGGCGGGUCUCUGGGCAGUAACUGACGCUGAGGAGCGAAAGCGUGGGGAGCGAACAGG